GAUUAGAGUUUGAUCAUGGCUCAGGAUGAACGCUAGCGGGAGGCCUAAUACAUGCAAGUCGAACGGUAACAGGUAGCAAUACGCUGACGAGUGGCGCACGGGUGCGUAACGCGUACACAAUCUGCCUUAUACUGGGGCAUAGCCUUUGGAAACGAAGAAUAAUUCCCCAUAAUAUAUAGAAGAGGCAUCUCUUUCAUAUUAAAGCUCAGGCGGUAUACGAUGAGUGUGCGUCCGAUUAGGUAGUUGGUGAGGUAACGGCUCACCAAGCCAACGAUCGGUAGCUGGUCUGAGAGGAUGAUCAGCCACACGGGCACUGAGACACGGGCCCGACUCCUACGGGAGGCAGCAGUAGGGAAUAUUGGACAAUGGGCGCAAGCCUGAUCCAGCCAUCCCGCGUGAAGGAUGAAGGUCCUCUGGAUUGUAAACUUCUUUUCUUCGGGAAUAAAAACUGGGGUUCUCCUCAG
rnacentral:rRNA from 1 species